rnacentral:rRNA from 1 species
UAGGGAAUCUUCCACAAUGGACGCAGGUCUGAUGGAGCAACGCCGCGUGAGUGAAGAAGGUCUUCGGAUCGUAAAACUCUGUUGUUAGAGAAGAACACGAGUGAGAGUAACUGUUCAUUCGAUGACGGUAUCUAACCAGCAAGUCACGGCUAACUACGUGCUAG